rnacentral:SRP_RNA from 1 species
AGGCGUGCUAGUCUGGGUGGCCAGCCCUCACCUCUGAACCAAAUGGGCUUUAUGGGUUAGACGAAGCCUGGAGGGCGGCAGAAGGCUUGUGUAUCAGUCUUACAUGGACUGUCGAUCCUUUGUCCUCAUUGACUUUUACUUUAUCAGAAUGAGUCAGGCCUUGAUCGGAGCAGCUCACCGGUAUUGUAGAGGUGCUUUGAGGGUCGCGGAGGGGAGGAAGAUGUAAGGUUCACUGAUGUGCUUUUCGUCUGUCCACCUCUGGGCAUGCACACUU